rnacentral:rRNA from 1 species
UACGGAGGGAGCUAGCGUUGUUCGGAAUUACUGGGCGUAAAGGGCUCGUAGGUGGCCAACUAAGUCAGACGUGAAAUCCCUCGGCUUAACCGGGGAACUGCGUCUGAUACUGGAUGGCUUGAGUUCGGGAGAGGGAUGCGGAAUUCCAGGUGUAGCGGUGAAAUGCGCAGAUAUCAGGAGGAACACCAAUUGCGAAGGCAGCUCGCUGGGACGUUACUGACGCUGAGACGCGAAAGCGUGGGGAGCAAACAGG